rnacentral:rRNA from 1 species
AUUGAACGCUGGCGGCAGGCCUAACACCUGCAAGUCGAGCCGAGCGGCGGACGGGUGAGUAAUGCCUAGGAAUCUGCCUGUUCGUGGGGGAUAACGUCCGGAAACGGGUGCUAAUCACUCAUACUAUCAGAUGAGCCUAGGUCGGAUUGGCUAGUUGGUGGGGUAAAGGCCUACCAAGGCGACGAUCCGUCACUGGUCUGAGAGGAUGAUAAGUCAAACGUGAACUGAGACACGGUCCAGACUCAGACGGGAGGCAGCAGUGGGGAAUAUUGUACAAUGGGCGAAAGCCUGAUCCAGCCAUGCCUCGUGUGUGAAGAAGGUCUUCGGAUUGUAAAGCACUUUAAGUUGGGAGGCGUUACCAACAGAAUAAGCACCGGCUAACUUCGUGCCAGCAGCCGCGGUAAUAC